GCUAGGUACAACUCACCCUGUGGCCUUCCAUGCCUCCACAGGAGGUCAUUUCUUCUAGCUUCCCUAGGGCCUCCCACGGUGAAUACAGCUACCACACUGGACUGCAGUGACAUUUACUUGACCAUUGGACCCACUCACUACACUCCGAGCUCCUUGGGCCAGGAAAGUGCUUCGUAAACCUUUGUAACUGCUCAGGUGGGUUAUGGUGCCUGGCAUCCAGGACACCUGGAUCAAGAAGUAUUUGGUGGCCGGCUGGGUGGAUGGACUGGCCGGGCGAAUGAAGAAGGAUAGAGGGGAGCUUGCCUUUAAGAAUGGGGCACACCUCGUCUGAUUUUGGCUCAUGGCUGAAUCAGGCUUGCUCUGCAAAGGUGUGAAUGGCCUUGGGGUGAGUGGAAGCUCAGGGUCGUGGAAGGCUGAGAUUGGAAGGGGAGUAUCUGGGUCAGCUCAGAGUACUGGACAUCAAGGAAAGGCCACUGGGUCCUGGAGGAGGAGGACCUUUGAUCACAGGCCAGGAGACCCAGGAGUGCGGGUGACAGUUGAGCAGGAGAUGUCGGGGGAAGUCCUCACUCCUCACCUCUGCUCCUCAGUGGGGGGCUGCAGGGACUGUACCCGGGACUCUGGGUUCAACUAAAGGACGCUCUGGCCCCUCCACACAUAUAGUCAUUGGUCCAUUGAUUUUGCAAAAUGGAUUGAAGAUCUGCCCCUCAGGAUGACCUGAAGGAGCUUUAAGGUGGCAGGGGACAUGAACUUGAUUUGAAGUUCAUGGGCCAGAUGACAGUGAGCACAAGUGCCAUUAAGAGAGGCUGUGCAGGGGGUGGAGGGAGUCUGGGGCUCAUGGCCCCCACUGACCCUGCUUUUAGGUGACCUUGGCUUAACCUCCCAUCCCUCUGGUUGCUUUUGAGGCCUCUUCCUGAGACCUCCCUGUCCUCUGCCUAGGCGAUCGGGAAAGCUGUCGAAGUGCUUGGUUCAAAUGAGCUCCCACCUCCCUUGCCUGCAACCUUACGUUGAGCCCCUCCAAGGCUCCAGGUGGGUUCAACUGAGAAUGAGUCAGAGUCAACCAGACUCAGGGAAAAGGCACGUGGUCCAUGGGGAGUGGCGUGGGUGAUCA
rnacentral:lncRNA from 1 species